GUGUGGGUGGGCCUGGUGCGUGGGGUUGAAGCUUCAGAAACUCCAGUAGUGCAGAAAUGUUCCCACCAAGCACUGUCUUUAAUAGAAAAAAACAAGGAACGACAUAUAUUUGCACUGACAGAAGAAACGUCUCCAGUGACAGGAGAGACCGUCGCGGUGCCGGAGCGGGUUGGGAUGGAAUUCGCGGUGACCCAGGCACUGACUGGCACGCGUGGCUGCGUGCGGGCACCGAGGAGCCGAUGGAACUAGCGCGUAGAGCGCCGUUCACGCGGAGCUCCAAACUCUACAAGGAAGCCCCGAGAUGGAGACAAUGAAAAACAAGCACACGGUUCACGCUGGGGUCCCUUCGAGCCGCAGGAAAGGCUGGACUCAAAUUCCUUGGCUCAAGUGAUCCUCCCACCUCCUCAGCCUCCCAAAGUGCUGGAAUUACAGGCGUGAGUUGCUGCACCCAGCCUGCUCAGUGACGUUGAUGUUAGCCAGAUUCCAUCUUAUCUAUGGAAAACGGAAGCACAACAGGUGAAGUUGCCUGCCAAGUCAGCCAGCUGAUGGAGUUUUACUCUUAUCACCCAAGCUGGAGUGCAAUGGCAUGAUCUCCGCUCACUACAACCUCUGCUUCCUGAGUUCAAGUGGCUGCUUCCUCUGUACACCUCACCCCAAAUCUGAAAGCUCUUGGAAGGAGCAGUGCCUCAUACACACCACAGCCAUUCUGGUGCCGGGUUGGAGCAGCUGCACAUUUAUGAACGCCUGCCCAUUGCCUGAUCUCAGGGUGCCACUGAGGACGAGGGGCCUGUGCACAGCACGCGUGUGAUGUGCACUUCUGGGUCACAAGAGUCCUGGGGAGACUCCAGAGGAAAAACCACCCAUAGGCACUAUGCCAUGACCACACCCAUGGGGAACAGGACAGUUGUGACUCAGUCACCAGGAAGAACGCUGGCCAGAGAUGAGAGAUUCUGAAGGUGAUUUUCUUUCCCUGACCUGAUGAGCCAGAGCUCGGGCCACUGCGCUGUCUCCCGGGGCCAGCAAAGAGAACUCCACCUGCAGAGGACCAGAGCCUUGGAAUGGAAGGCUGCAGCUUGCAGGGGCUUCUAUUAGGGACACAGAGGGCCAAACACCAAUAAACUGCCCUCUGCUUGCUGCCAUUAGGGUCAACAGAAUCAGUGCUGCGGGGACCAACUCAGCCUGACCCACUGUGGACAGUGCCCUGCUCACGGUACUGGGAAGAUACCAACAUUUGUGAAAUAUGAGGCACAUUGUUUUCUAUACAUUUGGGGGAAAAUGGCAACUGUAAAAAUGACAUAAUAGGCCGGACUUGGUGGCUCACGCCUGUAAUCCCAGUACUUUGGAGGCCGAGAAGGGCGCAUUGCUUGAGCCCAGGGUUUAAGACCAGCCUGGGCAAUAUCUCAGAACCCUAUCUCUAGAAAGAAUACAAAAAUUAGUUAGACAGCGGUGCCUGCCUGUGGUCCCAGCUACUUAGAAGGCUGAGGCGGAAGGAUCGCUUGAGCCUGGGAGGUGGAGGUUGCAGUGAACUGAGAUCCCACCACUGCACUCCAGCCUGGGGGACAGAGCCAGACAGUGUCUCAAAAAAAAAAAAAAAAAAAAAAAAAAAGUAGCAGAGGGUGCUGCUGGACAGACCUGCUGUCCUGUGUUGGUUCUUAUUACUGAUAUUAUUACCAGUGCCCACCUGCUGAUUCGGACUCUUAGCGACCCCUCCACAGCACUGUCCUGAGGGUGAAAUGAGAUCGGGGACAAAGUGCCACCAACUGGAAAAGGUUAACUCAGCACCAUCUGGCACCCACCAGAGCUUCCUACGCCGGGAGUGCGUCAGAACCAGCCGAGGGUGUGAAAGCGGACACUGUCACACUGUGGUAGGAUUCUAAAUCAUUCACUAUUUACAUGAGCACAGAAAUAAACUAGAAUAAGAUGUGUUAA